CGGAUCCAACAGUAGCAGAAGCCAGGGCAUGUCUGCAAGUCGUAACAUUUAUGAAAGAGCUUGUGUUUCCAGAAAUCAACGUUGAAGGGGAUACACUAACAGUUAUUAAAAAACUAAGGUCUGAUGAGAAAGACAUAUCGACAGUAAGUUCUUUGAUUAAUGAGAUUAAAGAACGGGUUAAUAGUUUUAUAUCAGUGAAAUUCAGAUACAUACCACGCCAAGGGAAUGACGUAGCCUACUUGUUCGCCGAAGAAGAAGAAGGUACACGACUCCCAUGUUUUGGAUAGAGGCACCAAGGGUAGUGGAAGCGGAGGUGGAGAGGAAUAGAGAAUCCAUGCAAGGUGCGAGGUGAGAUGGGUUUUCUUGCUGCUGGAGGAUUUGUUCAGUUUUUGACUCUGACGACAGAAAAUUAAAAGGAGCAGACUAGGUUUAAUAAGACAGAUGCCAUUUUCGAUGAUGUGGGAAGGUCGAAAGCUCGAUUUGAUGAUUGAUGAUAGGCGGGGUGGAAGAAUUUGAAAGGUCGUUUCAUUUUUACAAAAUGCGAAGGGAUGUUUCUUUACUGCUGGUUUUUUUGUUUCAGUUGUUUUUGUGGUUAUGUUUUUUUUUAGGAUUUUUGAUUUGUU
rnacentral:lncRNA from 1 species